AUUUGAGAGCAAACUUAAUAAGAUUUUUAUGAGCAUUGAUUUUGGGUGAUUUGGAUUUGUAAUGACUUUGUAAGAGCCUUACAAAGUCAAGAUUAUUUUGGAUGAGUCGAAUUUUUGUGAAAUAAAAGAAAGUCGAUAUUAUGGACAGUUUUAGGAGUUGUAUAAUAGAUCUAUGGAUGAAAUUUCGUAGAUCAAUGGUUAUAGUUGUAUUUAAUAUUUUUUGAUAAUUUUAGCUUGAUCUAAUAAUUGAAUUGCGGAUUAUUGAGGUUUAAGUGGGUCGAGAUCUUAGGAAAUAGAAUUUUAGGUCUAAUGAGGAUUUCUAAAAUUUCUUACAAUCUAACAAUUGAAUUAGAGUGAAAGUUAUGUAUGUAGGUAGUAGACUUAUUUUCCUACAUAUAUGAAAAAGUUGAGAUAAAUUUAAUGGUAAAAAAUGGAGAUAUUAGCACUAAAAUGUUAGCAUUAAGAUUGGAAAAAGAAGCCGGCCAACAUCUGAGCAGAUUUUAGGAUUUUUCUUUCAUUAGAUAAGUACAAUUAUCCUCAAAUUUUUUGUACUUGUUAUAACUAAGAGAUUGAGAGGUAUAUAGAAUUUUAAAUAAGAUCAAUGAUUUAAUCAAAAGAUAUUGAUGUUCUAAACUACUUUAAGAUUUGAUUUUGGAUUUAAGAUUGAUUAGGAUUUGAUUUAGAAUUUAGGAUUUGAUUAGGAUUUGAUUU
rnacentral:lncRNA from 1 species